GACCACGUAGCUCAGUUGGCAGAGCAUUGGGCUUACUUUCCAAAGGUCGUAGGUUCGAUUCCCACCGUGGCCA